UCUUUAUAUUUUAUAUAUUAAAAAAUUAUUAGAAUAAUAAUAUUUAUUAUUAUUUAAAUUAUUUUAUUGGGGUGAUAUAAAAAUUUAUUUAACUUUUUAUUUUUUUUAACAUUAAUUUAUGAAUAAAUGAUCCAAUUUUAUUGAUUAAAAGAUUAAGU
rnacentral:rRNA from 1 species